GAUGAACGCUGGCGGCGUGCCUAAUACAUGCAAGUCGAGCGAACAGACGAGGAGCUUGCUCCUCUGACGUUAGCGGCGGACGGGUGAGUAACACGUGGAUAACCUACCUAUAAGACUGGGAUAACUUCGGGAAACCGGAGCUAAUACCGGAUAAUAUAUUGAACCGCAUGGUUCAAUAGUGAAAGACGGUUUUGCUGUCACUUAUAGAUGGAUCCGCGCCGCAUUAGCUAGUUGGUAAGGUAACGGCUUACCAAGGCAACGAUGCGUAGCCGACCUGAGAGGGUGGUCGGCCACACUGGAACUGAGACACGGUCCAGCCUCCUACGGGAGGCAGCAGUAGGGAAUCUUCCGCAAUGGGCGAAAGCCCGACGGAGCAACGCCGCGUGAGUGAUGAAGGUCUUCGGAUCGUAAAACUCUGUUAUUAGGGAAGAACAAAUGUGUAAGUAACUAUGCACGUCUUGACGGUACCUAAUCAGAAAGCCACGGCUAACUACGUG
rnacentral:rRNA from 1 species